rnacentral:rRNA from 1 species
GUACGAAGGGGAGCUAGCGUUGCUCGGAAUUACUGGGCGUAAAGCGCACGUAGGCGGCUCUUUAAGUCGGGGGUGAAAUCCUGGAGCUCAACUCCAGAACUGCCUUCGAUACUGAAGAGCUUGAGUCCGGGAGAGGUGAGUGGAACUGCGAGUGUAGAGGUGAAAUUCGUAGAUAUUCGCAAGAACACCAGUGGCGAAGGCGGCUCACUGGCCCGGUACUGACGCUGAGGUGCGAAAGCGUGGGGAGCAAACAGG